rnacentral:rRNA from 1 species
GCGUAACAGCUCACUAGUCGAGCGAUCGGGCAUGGAUAAUAAACGGGCAUUAAACUGUACACCGAAGCUAUGGGUAAUAUUAAUAUUACGGUAGGGGAGCAUUCCAGCGGCAGCGAAGUUAUGACGUAAGUUGUGGUGGAGCUUCUGGAAAAGCAAAUGUAGGCAUAAGUAGCGAUAAAAGUAGUGAAAAACUACUUCACC